AUGGCUUCUCUCCCGGCCAUCUUCAUCCUCAUGCUCCUGGUUCGUUCCUGCAACUCCGAUGACCGCCUAAGACCCACUAAGCCACUCUCGCCCGGCGACGAGCUCAUCUCCAGCAAUGGCCUCUUCGCCCUUGGCUUCUUCUCCCUGCAAGGCUCCGCCGCCAACACAUAUUUAGGCAUAUGGUACCACAACAUCUCUGAGCGAACAUAUGUGUGGGUGGCCAACCGCGACAGCCCGAUCAAGAGCAGUUUGCCCGGGAAGCUGGUCGUGAGCAACACCUCUGACCUCGUCUUGUCCGACUCCGACGGCCGUGUCCUCUGGGCGACGAAGACGAACAACGUCACCACCACCGGAUCAGGAUCAGGUGGCGGAGCCACCGGUGCAGGGGCGGUGCUGCUCGACACCGGAAACUUUGUUCUCCGGUCGCGGAACGGCACGGAGAUAUGGCAGAGCUACGAUGAGCCGACCGACACCUUUCUCCCGGGAUUCAAGCUGUGGGUGAACUACAAGACCCACGUAGCAGCGCGCAUCGUGGCGUGGAAGGGCCCCGACGACCCGUCCACGGGCGAGUUCGUCUUGAGCGGCGACACCAGCACGGGCCUUCAGAUCCUGACGUGGCGAGGGUCGACUCUCUACUGGCGCGCCGGGGUGUGGAACGGCGCCACGGCCGCCAGCUUCACCAAAUCCUUCUUGUCCCAGAUGAUCGACGACGGAGAGGUGGCCUACUUCACUUACAACAGAGCCGACGACUCGGCCCCGGCGAGGUCGCACUGGAAGCUCGACCACACGGGCGAGGUGAUGUUCAGGGUGUGGGUCGAGGGGUCGUCAUCGUCGUGGGUGCCCCUGUUCGAGCGGCCGGGCAAGGGGUGCCUCGUCUACGGCGCGUGCGGGCCGUUCGGCUACUGCGACGUCAAAGGGGACGUCCGGGAGUGCAGGUGCCUCGACGGGUUUGAGCCGGCGGACGGCGGCGGCGGCUCCUCGAAAGCAGGGUGCGUGAGGAAGGAGGCGGUGAGAUGCGGCGGCAACAACUACUUCCUGACCUUGCCGGCGAUGAAGCUGCCCGACAAGUUCGUCUACUUGACCAACAGGAGCUUCGAGGAGUGCGCUGCGGGCUGCGACCGCAACUGCUCCUGCACGGGGUAUGCUUACACCAACGCGAGCGACAUCCUCCUGGCAUCCAAGUGCUUCCAUUGGACAGGAGACCUUGUCGACAUGGUGAAAGCUGACUAUACAAGUGACCACCUGUAUCUUCGGUUGGCCGGCAACGGGGACAAUUAUGCAAGAACCAACAACAAGAUCAACGGUGUCCAUGUGGUAUUUAAGAUUGUACUCCCACUUAUAGCAUUCUUGCUGAUACUCACAUGCAUAUAUAUUUUCUGUAUAUGCAAACCCAGAGGCAUACAUCAAAACAAUGGAGCCCUGCAGGUACACCUGAGACCUUCACAAGAAGUCUGGGAUCAAAGUUUAGAAUUUUCGCGGAUAACGUUCGAAGACAUUGCUGCUGCAACGAAUAGUUUCCAUGAAACCAACAUGCUUGGAAGAGGAGGUUUUGGGAAAGUGUAUAAGGGAAUACUGCAAGAUGGCAAGGAAGUUGCUAUUAAAAGGCUUAGCAAGGGAUCUGAGCAGGGAAUAGAGCAUUUCAGAAAUGAAGUUGUUCUUAUUGCCAAACUGCAGCACAAGAAUCUUGUUAGACUCCUUGGAUAUUGUAUUCAUGAGGAUGAGAAGUUGCUUAUAUACGAAUACCUACCCAACAAAAGUCUAGACAAAUUCCUUUUUGAUAAUGCAAGAAAAUCUACACUCAAUUGGCCAAGAAGAUUUAGCAUAAUCAAAGGGGUAGCUAGAGGAUUACUAUAUCUACACCAAGAUUCGAGAAUGACGAUAAUUCAUCGAGACCUCAAGCCGAGCAACAUCCUGCUAGACUCGGAGAUGAACGCAAAGAUAGCAGAUUUUGGAAUGGCAAGGAUCUUUGGAGGCAAUGAGCAACACGAGCGUACCAAACAUGUAGUUGGGACAUAUGGUUACAUGUCACCUGAAUAUGCGAUGGAGGGAAUCUUUUCAUUGAAGUCUGACACCUACAGCUUUGGUAUUUUCCUGCUGGAGAUUGUAAGUGGAUUAAAGAUCAGCUCACCUCAUCAUCUUGUAAUGGAUUUCCGGAAUCUCAUAGCAUAUGCAUGGAACCUAUGGAAAGAUGGAAAAUCAAUGGAUUUCAUGGAUGCAACACUCAUGGAGAGCUACUCCCCUGAUGAAGUGUCAAAGUGUAUCCACAUUGGAUUGAUGUGUGUGCAAGAUAGCCCCAAUGCUAGGCCACACAUGUCAUCGGUUGUGUCCAUGUUGGAUAACGAAGCCAUGCCUCGCGCAGUGCCGAAGCAACCUAUGUAUUUUGCACAGAGAACAGUUGAAGGCUUGGAAAUGUCUACCAAUGGUGCUAGCCUGACAACGCUAGAUGGUCGCUGA
rnacentral:rRNA from 1 species